GCCGUUGUAGCUCAGUUGGUAGAGCAUCGCAUUCGUAACGCGGAGGUCGGAGGUUCGAUUCCUCUCAACGGCACCA
rnacentral:tRNA from 1 species